GAUGAACGCUGGCGGCGUGCUUAACACAUGCAAGUCGAACGAAGCACUUUAUUUGAUUUCCUUCGGGACUGAUUAUUUUGUGACUGAGUGGCGGACGGGUGAGUAACGCGUGGGUAACCUGCCUUGUACAGGGGGAUAACAGUUGGAAACGGCUGCUAAUACCGCAUAAGCGCACAGCAUCGCAUGAUGCAGUGUGAAAAACUCCGGUGGUAUAAGAUGGACCCGCGUUGGAUUAGCUAGUUGGUGAGGUAACGGCCCACCAAGGCGACGAUCCAUAGCCGACCUGAGAGGGUGACCGGCGACAAUGGGACUGAGACACGGCCCAAACUCCUACGGGAGGCAGCAGUGGGGAAUAUUGCACAAUGGGCGAAAGCCUGAUGCAGCGACGCCGCGUGAGCGAAGAAGUAUUUCGGUAUGUAAAGCUCUAUAAGCAGGGAAGAUAAUGACGGUACCUGACUAAGAAGCACCGGCUAAAUACGUG
rnacentral:rRNA from 1 species